AUUGAACGCUGGCGGCGUGCCUAAUACAUGCAAGUCGAGCGAAGCGGGGACGGGUGAGUAACACGUGGAUAACCUCCUAUAAGACUGGGAAAACUUCGGGAAACCGGAGCUAACACGGCAACUUUUACAAGGAUCCACGCUGCAUUAGAUAGUUGGUAAGGUAACGGCUUACCAAGGCAACGAUGCCUAGCCGACCUGAGAGGGUGAUCGGCCACACUGGAACUGAGCCACGGUCCAGACUCCUACGGGAGGCAGCAGUAGGGAAUCGUCCGCAAUGGGCGAAAGCCUGACGCAGCAACGCCGCGUGAGUGAUGAAGGUCUUCGGAUCGUAAAACUCUGUUAUUAGGGAAGCGUUACCUAAUCAGAAAGCCACGGCUAACUACGUGCCAGCAGCCGCGGUAAUUC
rnacentral:rRNA from 1 species